CAANAUUAAAAUUCAACCUAUUCUAGGAAUUUAAAAUGCAAAAGUGUAAGAAGAAAUCUAGGUUGCCUCCUAGUAGCGUUUGUUUAACGUCGCGAGCCUGACCCAAACCUGGUUGGCACUUGUCAGUAAGUGCACUUCCUUCCACCACCCAUCAGUAGGUGUACUGUUCGGAUAUCCUUCAGUGGAUACCAAAAAUUUAGCAUCCCUCAGUAGAUGCUACCCUUACUGCCAUCAGAAGCAAC
rnacentral:lncRNA from 1 species